rnacentral:lncRNA from 1 species
AUUGCGACACAAGGAGGAUUAGGGGUGGAAUUCCAUGUAGAGAGAAGGGUGCUCAUAGUUGCCAGAAGUAGUGGAGGACGGGCCAGACAAAGGGGCUUCCGGAUUGAGGAAAUACUGCUGGAUAGAAGUUUGAGACCUCUCUAAACGAAGUAGAAGUGGAAUAGUUGGGGAACGUCUUGAACUCAUUGGUUAACGAGGGGCUGAUCCAGUCACCAAACUAGUGAAAAAAUUCCUAUACGGUUGUUCUUCACUAGGGAAGA